rnacentral:misc_RNA from 1 species
GAAAUGCGAUAAGUAAUGUGAAUUGCAGAAUUCAGUGAAUCAUCGAAUCUUUGAACGCACCUUGCGCCCUCUGGCAUUCCGGGGGGCAUGCCUGUCCGAGCGUCAUUACGCACCCUCAAGCCCGGCUUGUGUGAUGGGCCCUGGCGUCUCGUUCGCGAGACGGGCCCGAAAGGCAGCGGCGGCGUCGACCCGAUGAGCCCGAGCGUAUGGGGACUUUUGUCACACGUUUGCGGUGCGGACCGGCGCCUGCUUGACUUUUCUGAUUAUCCAGGUUGACCUCGGAUCAGGUAGGGAUACCCGCUGAACUUAAGC